rnacentral:pre_miRNA from 1 species
GAAGACUGCAGUUUUGCAUUGGUUGUGUUCAACAUUUACCAUCUGUCUUAUUUGUAAAAACUUUUAUGAUUAGUAUUUUUAUUGUUAUUAUAUGAUAAAAUAUGAAUAGUACUUUAUGUGAAACUAUUUUUUUUAAUAAGAUGGGCGAUCAAACUUGAACACGAAAUACACGACUACACUUAAA